GACUCUCGGCAACGGAUAUCUCGGCUCUCGCAUCGAUGAAGCGUAGCGAAAUGCGAUACUUGGUGUGAAUUGCAGAAUCCCGUGAACCAUCGAGUCUUUGAACGCAAGUUGCGCCCGAGGCCUCCUGGUCGAGGGCACGUCUGCCUGGGUGUCA
rnacentral:rRNA from 1 species